CCGAGUUUACAACUCCCAAACCCCUGUGAACAUACCUAUACGUUGCCUCGGCGGAUCAGCCCGCGCCCCGCAAAACGGGACGGCCCGCCGAGGACCCCUAAACUCUGUUUUUAGUGGAACUUCUGAGUAAAACAAACAAAUAAAUCA
rnacentral:misc_RNA from 1 species